GAGUUUGAUCAUGGCUCAGAACGUACGCUGGCGGCACGCCUAACACAUGCAAGUCGAACGAAGUAGCAAUACUUAGUGGCAGACGGGUGAGUAACAUGUAGGUAUCUACCCUUUGGCCUGGAAUAACACGAGGAAACUUGUGCUAAUACCGGAUAAGUCUUUACGGAGAAAGCUUUAUGCACCAUUGGAUGAGCCUGCACUUGAUUAGUUUGUUGGUAGGGUAAUGGCCUACCAAGACUUUGAUCAAUAGCUGAUUUGAGAGGAUGAUCAGCCACAUUGGGACUGAGACACGGCCCAAACUCCUACGGGAGGCAGCAGUGGGGAAUCUUGCACAAUGGAGGAAACUCUGAUGCAGCGAUGCCGCGUGGGUGAAGAAGGCCCUUGGGUUGUAAAGCUCUUUCGUCGGGGAAGAAAAUGACUGUACCCGAAUAAGAAGGUCCGGCUAACUUCGUGCCAGCAGCCGCGGUAAUACGAAGGGACCUAGCGUAGUUCGGAAUUACUGGGCUUAAAGAGUUCGUAGGUGGUUGAAAAAGUUGGUGGUGAAAUCCCAGAGCUUAACUCUGGAACUGCCAUCAAAACUUUUCAGCUAGAGUCUGAUAGAGGAAAGCAGAAUUUCUAGUGUAGAGGUGAAAUUCGUAGAUAUUAGAAAGAAUACCAAUUGCGAAGGCAGCUUUCUGGAUCAUUACUGACACUGAGGAACGAAAGCAUGGGUAGCGAAGAGGAUUAGAUACCCUCGUAGUCCAUGCCGUAAACGAUGUGUGUUAGACGUUGGAAAUUUAUUUUCAGUGUCGCAGCGAAAGCGAUAAACACACCGCCUGGGGAGUACGACCGCAAGGUUAAAACUCAAAUGAAUUGACGGGGACCCGCACAAGUAGUGGAGCAUGUGGUUUAAUUCGAAGAUACGCGCAGAACCUUACCAACACUUGACAUGUUCGUCGCGACUUUAAGAGAUUAAAGUUUUCGGUUCGGCCGGACGAAACACAGGUGCUGCAUGGCUGUCGUCAGCUCGUGUCGUGAGAUGUUGGGUUAAGUCCCGCAACGAGCGCAACCCUCACUUUUAGUUGCCAUCAUUUAGUUGGGCACUCUGAAAGAACUGCCAGUGAUAAGCUGGAGGAAGGUGGGGAUGACGUCAAGUCCUCAUGGCCCUUACGUGUUGGGCUACACACGUGCUACAAUGGUAUCUACAACAGGAAGCAAAACGGCGACGUUAAGCAAAUCCUUAAAAGAUACCUCAGUUCGGAUUGUACUCUGCAACUCGAGUACAUGAAGCUGGAAUUACUAGUAAUCGUGGAUCAGCGUGCCACGGUGAAUGCGU
rnacentral:rRNA from 1 species